GGGGGGAUAGUGGAGUAGUACACCACCUGGACUAGCCUCUUAAUCCCUAAUAAGAGGUCGUAGGUUCGAAUCCUACUCCCCCCU
rnacentral:tRNA from 1 species